rnacentral:rRNA from 1 species
UACGGGGGGUGCAAGCGUUGUCCGGAUUUAUUGGGCGGAAAGAGCGUGUAGGCGGCCAGACAGGUCCGUUGUGAAAACUCGAGGCUCAACCUCGAGAUGUCGAUGGAAACCGUCUGGCUAGAGUCCGGAAGAGGAGUGUGGAAUUCCUGGUGUAGCGGUGAAAUGCGCAGAUAUCAGGAAGAACACCUAUGGCGAAGGCAGCACUCUGGGACGGUACUGACGCUGAGACGCGAAAGCGUGGGGAGCGAACAGG